GGGUUGUAUUUAAAGUGGGAGGGUGCAGAGGUAUGGAGGUAUAUUGAGUUUUCCCUUUUCUGGUAACUGCGCUUAGCUGUAUAUAGCUCAUUGAUUUGUUAAGAUCUAUGGUGAUUUCAAGUUCUCAGGCCUUUGGAUAAAAACUGAUCUACAUUACUAGCUUUCCUGGGUCUCCAGCUUGCAAAUGGGAGGCUGUGAACUAACUUAAUCAUAUAAGCUAGUUUCCUAUAAUACACCACUUUAUGAAUAUAAAUGGAAACCCUGAAAUACGAUAGGAGCCCAUUUCGGAUUUCACCCAGGAAACUCCUGAAGUUUUGAACCAACAGCAAGAGAGACUCACGGAAGCCAGCAUAACAGAACAGAAAUAAGAUGGGCAAGCCUCAGCCCCAGCGUCGCACGCAAUCCAGUGGUUUGUGCUGAGAAUCCUAACAAUAAGUGGGACAACAGAAAUGAGCUCUGAAGUUCACCCUAGAAGUGAACACACUUGAACAUACUUUUUCAUUAGCUGGAUAUGUUUUAAGUUGCAGGAUGAAAGUGGAAUUUCGUGAAGAAUUUGCUUCUGCUCCCAUAGAACUGAAAGUUGGUUACUCAGUCAAUACAUUUACAAUGUUAAAAUGCUUAGUUUGACAAAAACUGUAAAAUAUUGUCAAAUAGUGUCUCAACUGACUUCAGAAGACAGAAACCGCAGUAAAUGGAUGCUUCUGUCUUGAAGUUAUUUAAUUCUUAUCUGCUGUUUUCUUAAAGAUUGGUAUUUAAUUUUGUUUCUUGGAAUUCACUGUGAAAGUUUUGUCUGAAUUAGGGAUAGAACAUAAAAUACAAAAUAUAUAUCAAAACAA